rnacentral:rRNA from 1 species
AGGUUACUGCUAUCGAGGUUCGACUAAGCCAUGCGAGUCGAAUGUAGCAAUACAUGGCGUACUGCUCAGUAACACGUGGACAACCUACCCUCAGGACAGGUAUAAACCCGGGAAACUGGGUAUAAUCCCUGAUAGUCCUCGACUGCUGGAAUGCAUCGAGGACGAAAGCUCCGGCGCCUGAGGAUGGGUCUGCGGCCUAUCAGGUAGUAGUGGGUGUAACGUACCUACUAGCCUACGACGGGUACGGGUUGUGAGAGCAAGAGCCCGGAGAUGGAUUCUGAGACACGAAUCCAGGCCCUACGGGGUGCAGCAGGCGCGAAAACUUUACAAUGCCGGCAACGGCGAUAAGGGGACCUCGAGUGCCAGGUUACAAAUCUGGCUGUCGUGAUGCCUAAAAAGCAUUGCAUAGCAAGGGCCGGGCAAGACCGGUGCCAGCCGCCGCGGUAACACCGGCGGCUCGAGUGGUAACCGUUAUUAUUGGGUCUAAAGGGUCUGUAGCCGGCCGGAUAAGUCUCUUGGGAAAUCCAGCAGCUCAACUGUUGGGCUUUCAGGAGAUACUGUUCGGCUCGAGGCCGGGAGAGGUGAGAGGUACUUCAGGGGUAGGGGUGAAAUCUUGUAAUCCUUGAAGGACCACCAGUGGCGAAGGCGUCUCACCAGAACGGACCUGACGGCAAGGGACGAAAGCUAGGGGCACGAACCGGAUUAGAUACCCGGGUAGUCCUAGCCGUAAACGAUACUCGCUAGGUGUCGGCCACGGUGCGACCGUUGUCGGUGCCGUAGGGAAGCCGUGAAGCGAGCCA